rnacentral:rRNA from 1 species
GGACGAACGCUGGCGGCGUGCCUAACACAUGCAAGUCGAGCGGGAAUCUACAAAAUGAAGCUUCGGCAGAUUUUGUAGAGGAUAGCGGCGGACGGGUGAGUAACGCGUGAGUAACCUGCCCUUAAGAGGGGGAUAACACACCGAAAGGUGUGCUAAUACCGCAUAACAUAUGUUUACCGCAUGAUAGACAUAUCAAAGAUUUAUUGCUGAGAGAUGGCCUCGCGUCUGAUUAGCUAGUUGGUGGGGUAACGGCCCACCAAGGCGACGAUCAGUAGCCGGACUGAGAGGUUGACCGGCCACAUUGGGACUGAGAUACGGCCCAGACUCCUACGGGAGGCAGCAGUGGGGAAUAUUGGGCAAUGGGCGCAAGCCUGACCCAGCAACGCCGCGUGAAGGAAGAAGGCUUUCGGGUUGUAAACUUCUUUUGUCGAGGAAGAGUAGAAGACUGUACUCGGCGAAUAAGCCACGGCUAACUACGUG